GCUGGCAUCCCGCGCUUGCAGACGGGGCUGAGGAAGCUGGCACUUGGCCCCUCUCUUGACUCACACUCCUUUUCCAGGUCCGGCCCACCAACAACAGAACAGGCGCCCCCAAACCCCUGUGCUCCUUCCAGAGAGAGGGUCAUUCUCACGGCAACACGGCAACACGGCGACCCAGUGACUGCAGACCGAAUCGGAAAUGCAAGCCUGAGAACAGAGCUGGCCUUACCCGGUGUCAGAGGGGAGACUAGCUCCUACCUCCUCCUGUCCUUGCAGAGAGAAGACUAAACAGUCUCGGUUUCUCCCCUUUCAGGCCAGAGGAGUUCAGGUCCGGCCCACCAACAACAGAACGGGCGCCCCCAAACCCCUGUGCUCCUUCCAGAGAGCUGGAUCGUGGAGCACAGGCACAGCAAUAGUUGGACAGCUGAGGAUUUGAAUUUGGCUGUGUGACCUUGGACAAGUCACCUAAUCUCUCUGGGCCUCAGCGUUGGCAUCUGUAAAUGGGUACCUUAUGCAAUCAGACUGAUGCAAAUAAAUCACCCAGCCUGAGAAUGCUUAGUACAUAAAGAGCUCUCAGGUACUCAACUGUACCUACCAGGAAGGCAGAGGCCUUUGGGACCUGGCAUAGUGCUGGGCACAUAGCUCACCCAGGCUUUACUUUUUCAAAGUGAUUCCAACACUGGAAUGCCCAGAAUUCCAAUCAGAGGCCUGGCAAGGAUGUACCUUUGGAAGUUCUUCAUGCCUAUCACCACUUCCAGAAGCUCUGCCACAGCUGAGCUUAUGAGUAAGGGGUGUGGUGGGGACCCCAGGCAGGGAAGGGAACUCUGGCAAGGUAGAAAACAGCAGCCGGGAAGGAGAAACCAGGACAGGAAGCCAGAAAGCUGCCAUGGCCCUGCUCCCCCGGGGUGGGGGGGUCCCUAGCAGGACUUUGGGCACACGGUCACCAGGGGCCCACAGAGGGCAGACCGGCAGGUAGGCAGCAGACAGUGAGGCUCAGUGAUGUCAGGCUUUCCCAGAAUGACUCAGUGGUGCGCCUGGCUGUGAAUGGUGAGCUGUGUGUUAUGGUCUCAAGGGCUCCCUGUCUCCGUGCCCUCCGGGCUGGCAUGGAUCUCUCCUUCCCCGUCCCCUCCUGCCCUCCCUGCCCCAGGGGCCCAUGACUACAGCAUCCGGGUGCCGCUUCGGGCUGUGACCCCCAUGGUACUGUCAUGUCUCUCCAAUCUCCACACGGACAGACCGAACUGCCAGGGAGACUUGGAUUUCAUUACUGCCCCCCACUGCUCCUGGCUGAGUGAUCCAGGGUGGGUUAACUGCCUCUCCGAACCUCAGUUUCCUCAUCUGGAAAAUGGACACAUGGCUAACAACCCUGCUGGGCUGUAUGGGGCUUACUUAGUGAGACGGUCUAUAACUACCUGGCACACAGCAGGCGCUUAGCAAAUGGAAAGUAUGGCAUUCAAGAACCUUGACACGACCUCAAUUGACAUUUCUAGCUGCGUUUAUUUAAAAAAUAAGAAUAGGGCGCCUGGGUGGCUCAGUUGUUAAGCGUCUGCCUUCGGCUCAGGUCAUGAUCCCAGGGUCCUGGGAUCGAGUCCCACAUCGGGCUCCCUGUUCGGCGGGAAGCCUGCUUCUCCCUCUCCCACUCCCCCUGCUUGUGUUCCUGCUCUUGCUAUGUCUCUCUCUGUCACAUAAAUAAAUAAAAAAUCUUAAUAAAUAAAUAAAUAAAUAAAUAAAUAAAUAAAUAAAUAAAUAAAUAAAUAAAUAAAUAAAAAAUAAGAAUAGUAGCUCAUUCUUCUUGAUGCUUACGGUAUAUGAGGCACUGCUCCGAACACUUGUCUAGGGACACAUUUUCUUCUUCUAUCACCCCCAUGUGGUGGGUACUGUUAGCAUCUCCAUUUUACAGAUGAGAAAACUGAGGCACAGGGGGAUGAAGCACCUUGGCCACAGUCACACAGCAGGUGAGGAGCAGGGCUCCCUCUCCUUGCAAGCAGCCCACCUCUAGAGUCUGCACACUGCAACCACAGCUCCAUCCUGCCUCAUCUCCGAUCUUCAUGCACCCUACAAAUUACACUUCGCCCUUCUCUGCAUUCCAGCUGAGCCUUCCCACCCUGUGCCUUUGCCCAGUCUCCCUCCCUGCACCUGCAUGCCCACCUCGUCCAUGAAGCCCUCCCCCUGUCCUCCCUCAUGUCCACCUGUGUGGGCUCAUCACAGCUGGACUCAAAGG